GACGAACGCUGGCGGCGUGCUUAACACAUGCAAGUCGAACGGAAAGGCCCUGCUUUUGUGGGGUGCUCGAGUGGCGAACGGGUGAGUAACACGUGAGUAACCUGCCCUUGACUUUGGGAUAACUUCAGGAACCUGGGGCUAAAACCGGAUAGGAGCUCCUGCGCCAUGGGGGGGGUUGGAAAGUUUCGGCGGUUGGGGAUGGACUCGCGGCUUAUCAGCUUGUUGGUGGGGUAGUGGCUUACCAAGGCUUUGACGGGUAGCCGGCCUGAGAGGGUGACCGGCCACAUUGGGACUGAGAUACGGCCCAGACUCCUACGGGAGGCAGCAGUGGGGAAUAUUGCACAAUGGGCGGAAGCCUGAUGCAGCAACGCCGCGUGCGGGAUGACGGCCUUCGGGUUGUAAACCGCUUUCGCCUGUGACGAAGCGUGAGUGACGGUAAUGGGUAAAGAAGCACCGGCUAACUACGUG
rnacentral:rRNA from 1 species